CGGAUUGUAGUCUGCAACCCGACUACAUGAAGCUGGAAUCGCUAGUAAUCGCGGAUCAGAAUGCCGCGGUGAAUACGUUCCCGGGUCUUGUACACACCGCCCGUCACACCAUGGGAGUCGGAAAUGCCCGAAGUCUGUGACCUAACCGAGAGGGAGGAGCAGCCGAAGGCAGGUCUGAUGACUGGGGUGAAGUCGUAACAAGGUACC
rnacentral:rRNA from 1 species